AACAUUAUAUAUUCACAUAAUAAGACAUUCAUAACUUCUCAUCGCAUGCUCACUUCCAUUUUAAAGCAUCAUCGCAACAGAAUUAUCAUCACCAUUAUGGAAGAUAAAGCAAGUAAUAACAUCUAGUCUCAACUUCAAUUGUAAUAAUAAAAUAAGAGAGUGAAAUCAAUCAACUCAACAUCUUAAGAAUUCUCAACAACAAAAUUAGUCUUAUGAGUUCAACAUAAUCAGAC
rnacentral:lncRNA from 1 species